rnacentral:rRNA from 1 species
ACUCAAAUGAAUUGACGGGGGCCCGCACAAGCGGUGGAGCAUGUGGUUUAAUUCGACGCAACGCGAAGAACCUUACCUGGACUCGAAAUUUUGUUGACAGUCUCAGAGAUGAGAUCUUCCCGCAAGGGACAGCAGAAUAGGUGCUGCAUGGCUGUCGUCAGCUCGUGUCGUGAGAUGUUGGGUUAAGUCCCGCAACGAGCGCAACCCUCACCCUUAGUUGCUCGUCCGCAAGGAAAGCACCCUAAGGGAACUGCCUCGGAUAACGGGGAGGAAGGUGGGGAUGACGUCAAGUCCUCAUGGCCUUUAUGCCCAGGGCUACACACGUGCUACAAUGGUCGGUACAAACCGUCGCUUACCCGCAAGGGGAAGCCAAUCGGAAAAAACCGAUCUCAGUUCGGAUUGCAGGCUGCAACUCGCCUGCAUGAAGCUGGAAUCGCUAGUAAUCACGUAUCAGAACGACGUGGUGAAUACGUUCCCGGGCCUUGUACACACCGCCCGU